GGGAGGCAGGAGGAAAUGGUGACUGGAAUCUCCCUCCUUCUAGAAGGUAAGGAUAACAGACUUAUCACCAUGACAACUGACCUUGAUGUCAUUGUAUUCUUCUGUUUGUGUCAUUGCCACGACUGAGGGACAAAGUCCUCUUUUGGAAACCACAGAGUCCUGCAUCAUUAGGGAGAUGGUCAUGUCACAUCUGCAAGAAAUAAAUUCACCAUGAGAGAGCAGAUCAUCUUCUGAACUAGAAUGUGUACUCCAUCUGAUCACUCAGUGUGAUGAUGGGUUUUGGUUGAAUCCCAAACACAACAGUGAGUGCCAGGAACUCCGUCAAUUUCUAUGGUUGAGUGGAUGUAUACACAGAUUGAUCCGUGGCGAAGAAAUGUUCAGAUUUUUAAAAAAUAGUUAUUUCACAUCCAUUUGGAGCUACCAAUGAAUCUCUUCCUAGAAAUGAAGUAAUCUCGAUAGGAAGAAGGACUUGAUUUUAUUCACCAGAGUGCAGACGAGUUCCUGGCACUGGCUGUUCAUCAAAUGAGUGAUGGGUGCCUUCACCUCCAGAUCCAAGGAUACUUUGGCUCCCAUGUGGAAGUAGCAGUUGGACAUCCUUGCUUUUGGAACAUUAUAUAUGAGUCCAAGGUGACCACAGUGCGGGAUGGACUUAAGUUCUCAGCGGUCCUCUGGCCCUCGAUUUCCUUUUGACAACCUUCUGGCACUGUUUGCCUCAAGAACAGAGUCAAUGCUUCUCUUCGCUUGCUUUCAAUUACCCACAAUCACCUGCAGUCUGAAAACAUCAAAUGAAAACUUCCAGAAGUAAGCAGUCUACAAAUUUUGAGAUAGUGUAUUAUACUGAGAGCACAAUGAAACUUCUACCAGGGAUGUGACCCGACCCUUUGUCCAGAGUAUACACACAGGAAGGAUAUGCUCACUGCCUGUUAGUCGCGCGGCUGCCAUCCUGAUUGCAGCAUUGACCAUCACAGUCUUUCAGGAAUGUGUUGAUAUCUAAUGAUCAGACAGUAACAGAAUGAUACUGGCAGUUCUGAUGUGCCAAUGAGAAGCAUCAAAGAGAGUCAUUAAAAGACAAAGGUGAAUGUUCUCCACUUAGAGAAAAAGGUAUAUGCUAAGGUUGCUGGAUUCAUAAACGUGAUGUGCAAAAUAACAUUGAGAGAGACCAUACAGUCACAUAGCCUUUGGCAAAGUAGUCUGGUGCUAUUGGACUACUUCCUUACUGCCAUUGUUCUACUGGUUUCUACACUGAGCUGUUUUGGGGUAGGUACGUAUAUGAAGAAACAUGCUCAAUUUCAUUUUUCGCUUGAGACAUCCAUAGACGUCUUGGCGCAGGACUUUUACUAUGUGCUGUGCUAUACUAUGGUCAGGCCAUGCACCACUAUAUGUCUCUCUGACACCUACUCAAUGUGGGCAUUUACACCUUGAGUUGCUGGCCGCUGAGUUCCAUCUUACUAGACAUGCCACACCUGUGGUUACAAGAGCCAAUUCUAAUCAUGGAGACCAAGAUUCAAAUAUCACAAAAUACCAAGGAGGUCAAAGUUAUGAUAAAUACUACCAGAAAAAGUGACACGGAGUGAAUUCCAAUUGGUUUUAAGAAUAAAAACCCUGAGUCAGAUUUAAGGUUUAAUGCUGAAAGAUAAGAGACACAGAGAAGCCAGCCACCUGUUCUUACCUCUAUCAAAUCCUCAGACUGAAUAGGCAAUCCUGCCUCCAUGAAUCUUCAGACAGAAUGCAAUGAGCUCCUAUCUCUUCCUGUAUUAUAUUCAUUUCUCUCUCUGCCCAGUCAUAUCUCUUCCGAU